rnacentral:rRNA from 1 species
CGGUACAUUGGUGUUCUUUCGGGUUCACCAAAGCAUUUAUUAGACUAAACCAACUACUAUGUUUACUCAUAGUAAGGGGAAUCUGGAUAACUUUGCUGAUCGUAUGGCCUUGCGCCGGCGACGUUUCAAUUGAGUUUCUGCCCUAUCAACUUGUUGGUAAGGUAUUGGCUUACCAAGGUUGCAACGGGUAACGGGGAAUCAGGGUUCGAUUCCGGAGAGGGAGCCUGAGAAACGGCUACCACAUCCAAGGAAGGCAACAGGCGCGCAAAUUACCCAAUCUAGACAGUAGGAGGUGGUGAAGAGAAUUACUAAAUGGUGGUCCAAUGGAUCACUUGUUUGGAAUGAACGUAACUUAAGAAAUUCGUUGAUAAACAACUGGAGGGCAAGUCCUGGUGCCAGCAGCCGCGGUAAUUCCAGCUCCAGUAGUUUGCUUUAAAGUUGUUGCGUUUAAAACGCUCGUAGUUGGAUCACGCAGCAGUGUUCAGUUAUCUUUUUGCUGUUUGCCUUCUUGUGUGUCCGUCUCGUACGGUACACUUGUUGGUAAUGGUAUUAGAUGCUAUGCUGAACGCUGUUAGUUGCACGUGAGAUAGAUUGUUGGCCUUUAAUGAGCCGAUAUUCUCGUCUUGCGGGGUGUGCCUUGAAUAAAACAGAGUGCUUAAAGCAGGUUAUUGCCUGAAUGUUAUAGCAUGGAACGAACAAUCGUGUAUAUGUGCGUGUUAUCGAAAGGCUUCUAGCCUUUGGUUUAAAGUUUUUUCGUGAUACGCACGGCACCCACCUAAAUAUGGCUGUUGGUUUCCAUAUACGGUGAUGAUUAACAGGAGCGG